CACAUAUCCAGGCAUGAGAGUUUGUUGGUCAAGCUUGUAACCGAUUUCUCAUGUUUCUCACUCUCAUAAAACGACAGUGAAAUAAAUUUUGUGCAACGGGAACGCGCAUCCGCGAAUUUUCCAACGAUGCAGGUUCGCGUUGCAACUAAAUCGAGGUAUUAAACACAAAUAACAUACAUCCAUGUGUGUCACCCUAUAAAAUGCCAAGAGAAAAAAGAAAAAGUCGGCGUGCAGGUUAAAUUUUUAUCGACGUGCUUUCCAGGUUGUAUUACGUGAUUGCUGAUAGAUAAAAAUAAAUACAGAUGACAUUAUUGGAAAGCUAUCAAACAAUGAAAUCUCCAGAGAUAAGACUUAACACCUCUGAUAACUGACCUGAAUAGGCAUUAUGGUGCUGGGCUCUUGGAUAACAACGUUCUUAGCAAAUCUAACUGACAAGGGCAUGUCUGCGCCAACUGAACCUCCCUUCUCAGAUGCCGUGUAUUGCUCACAUGGAUUGAGGUGUGUCCUUUUCUUGCUAACAUGGCAUCUUUUACGCUUUGAUCGACGAGGUUUUGUAGUAUCUUCUCUGUUUCGUCCCGAUACUCGACCCGAGCUUGUGGAAACAAUUUGUGAGUGCACCAUACAUAAUACCAGCAUCAUGCCAGCUGGUAUAAGAACCUCAAAGGCAGAUACGAUCUUGAAAUAAGCUCACUAUUGUUCUUCAUCGAAUAACAACAGUAGACUACGACGUUGAAUAUUUGCAAGCAGUAAAGCAGCAAGAAAAGCGCAAAUAUUCUGGGACUCGUCUGUUGGACCCACCAGGUUCUAUGCAUAGGAAGUAACAACAGUCUUCGUACAGCCAAGUAAGCAACAGUACAUAAUCCAUGUUCAGGCUUUGCUUUUGGGAAUGACGAACCUACAAACAAAAAAAAGAAAAUACAAUUUGUUCUCAUAAGUAUAGACCAAAUCCUAUACAAGUUACAGACCCAUUUUAUAUUGAGAAGCCAAAAUAACUUGAAUUGAAAAUUAGUGAAACGUGAUUCUAAAAAUAUCAUAGUUCUUUGUUUCAGUUUGUGGUCAAAAAUAACUGAGGCAUCUUUGAUUCAAUAGAUAUUAGAUAUGCUGGAAUAUUCUCACCUCUGACUAGGUCAACAUCUAUGAGAUUUGUUUUUAAAUUAGCUCUGGUAAUAGGAAUCCAUAUGAAAUGAUCAAUGAAACGUUGCUCCAAGGUUUUUUCCCAUUGCUGUUUAUCAUACGUGCCUAUCUUUUUCUGAUACCUAUAUAUUGGAAAAAGAACUUAACGUAAAAUAAAAACACAUAACCACAUC